GCGGACAGAUGGGAGCUUGCUCCCUGAUGUUAGCGGCGGACGGGUGAGUAACACGUGGGUAACCUGCCUGUAAGACUGGGAUAACUCCGGGAAACCGGGGCUAAUACCGGAUGCUUGUUUGAACCGCAUGGUUCAAACAUAAAAGGUGGCUUCGGCUACCACUUACAGAUGGACCCGCGGCGCAUUAGCUAGUUGGUGAGGUAACGGCUCACCAAGGCAACGAUGCGUAGCCGACCUGAGAGGGUGAUCGGCCACACUGGGACUGAGACACGGCCCAGACUCCUACGGGAGGCAGCAGUAGGGAAUCUUCCGCAAUGGACGAAAGUCUGACGGAGCAACGCCGCGUGAGUGAUGAAGGUUUUCGGAUCGUAAAGCUCUGUUGUUAGGGAAGAACAAGUACCGUUCGAAUAGGGCGGUACCUUGACGGUACCUAACCAGAAAGCCACGGCUAACUACGUGCCAGCAGCCGCGGUAAUACGUAGGUGGCAAGCGUUGUCCGGAAUUAUUGGGCGUAAAGGGCUCGCAGGCGGUUUCUUAAGUCUGAUGUGAAAGCCCCCGGCUCAACCGGGGAGGGUCAUUGGAAACUGGGGAACUUGAGUGCAGAAGAGGAGAGUGGAAUUCCACGUGUAGCGGUGAAAUGCGUAGAGAUGUGGAGGAACACCAGUGGCGAAGGCGACUCUCUGGUCUGUAACUGACGCUGAGGAGCGAAAGCGUGGGGAGCGAACAGGAUUAGAUACCCUGGUAGUCCACGCCGUAAACGAUGAGUGCUAAGUG
rnacentral:rRNA from 1 species